UACAGAGAGUGCAAGCGUUAUUCGGAUUCACUGGGCGUAAAGGGUGCGCAGGUGGCCUUGUGAGUUGGGUGUGAAAGCCCGGGGCUUAACCCCGGAAUUGCACCCAAAACUACAUGGCUAGAGCAUUGGAGAGGGUAGCAGAAUUCAUGGUGUAGCAGUGAAAUGCGUAGAUAUCAUGAGGAAUACCAGAGGCGAAGGCGGCUACCUGGACAAUUGCUGACGCUCAGGCACGAAAGCGUGGGGAGCAAAAGGG
rnacentral:rRNA from 1 species